ensembl:snoRNA
AUGUUAUCAUGAGAUCUGGAGUAGUUACGGUCUGCUGCUGAGUUUUCUACUAUAGAUGCAAAAGAAGUGUCCUUGCAUUUUCUGUCUGAUUUGUGGCAGCCAAGAUUGAAUGAGGGAACGCAAGA